GAUGAACGCUGGCGGCGUGCCUAGUACAUGCAAGUCGAGCGAACAGACGAGGAGCUUGCUCCUCUGACGUUAGCGGCGGACGGGUGAGUAACACGUGGAUAACCUACCUAUAAGACUGGGAUAACUUCGGGAAACCGGAGCUAAUACCGGAUAAUAUAUUGAACCGCAUGGUUCAAUAGUGAAAGACGGUUUUGCUGUCACUUAUAGAUGGAUCCGCGCCGCAUUAGCUAGUUGGUAAGGUAACGGCUUACCAAGGCAACGAUGCGUAGCCGACCUGAGGGGGUGAUCGGCCACACUGGAACUGAGACACGGUCCAGACUCCUACGGGAGGCAGCAGUAGGGAAUCUUCCGCAAUGGGCGAAAGCUUGACGGAGCAACGCCGCGUGAGUGAUGAAGGUCUUCGGAUCGUAAAACUCUGUUAUUAGGGAAGAACAAAUGUGUAAGUAACUAUGCACGUCUUGACGGUACCUAAUCAGAAAGCCACGGCUAACUACGUG
rnacentral:rRNA from 1 species